rnacentral:rRNA from 1 species
GAGGAAUAUUGCGCAAUGGACGAAAGUCUGACGCAGCCAUGCCGCGUGAAGGAUGACGGCGCUACGCGUUGUAAACUUCUUUUAUAUACCAAGAAACCUUCGGACGUGUCCGAAGCUGACGGUAGUAUAUGAAUAAGCACCGGCUAACUCCGUGCCAGCAGCCGCGGUAAUACGGAGGGUGCAAGCGUUAUCCGGAUUUAUUGGGUUUAAAGGGUCCGUAGGCGGAUCAUUAAGUCAGUGGUGAAAGCCGACAGCUCAACUGUCGAACUGCCAUUGAUACUGGUGAUCUUGAGUACGGUUGAAGUAGGCGGAAUAUGACAUGUAGCGGUGAAAUGCUUAGAUAUGUCAUAGAACACCGAUUGCGAAGGCAGCCUACUAAGCCGUUACUGACGCUGAGGGACGAAAGUGUGGGGAGCGAACAGG